rnacentral:rRNA from 1 species
GAUGAACGCUGGCGGCGUGCCUAAUACAUGCAAGUCGAGCGAACAGACGAGGAGCUUGCUCCUCUGACGUUAGCGGCGGACGGGUGAGUAACACGUGGAUAACCUACCUAUAAGACUGGGAUAACUUCGGGAAACCGGAGCUAAUACCGGAUAAUAUAUUGAACCGCAUGGUUCAAUAGUGAAAGACGGUUUUGCUGUCACUUAUAGAUGGAUCCGCGCCGCAUUAGCUAGUUGGUAAGGUAACGGCUUACCAAGGCAACGAUGCGUAGCCGACCUGAGAGGGUGAUCCGCCACACUGGAACUGAGACACGGUCCAGACUCCUACGGGAGGCAGCAGUAGGGAAUCUUGCGCAAUGGGCGAAAGCCUGACGGAGCAACGCCGCGUGAGUGAUGAAGGUCUUCGGAUCGUAAAACUCUGUUAUUAGGGAAGAACAAAUGUGUAAGUAACUAUGCACGUCUUGACGGUACCUAAUCAGAAAGCCACGGCUAACUACGUG